UACGUAGGGUGCGAGCGUUAAUCGGAAUUACUGGGCGUAAAGCGUGCGAAGGCGGUCUCGCAAGUCCGAUGUGAAAUCCCCGGGCUCAACCUGGGAACUGCGUUGGAAACUACGAGGCUGGAGUACGGCAGAGGGGGGUGGAAUUCCACGUGUAGCAGUGAAAUGCGUAGAUAUCUGGAGGAACACCGGUGGCGAAGGCGGCAUCCUGGACCAACACUGACGCUGAGGAGCGAAAGCCAGGGGAGCAAACGGG
rnacentral:rRNA from 1 species